rnacentral:rRNA from 1 species
AGAGCUUGCUUUCUCGAGCGAGUGGCGAACGGGUGAGUAACGCGUGAGGAACCUGCCUUUCAGAGGGGGACAACAGUUGGAAACGACUGCUAAUACCGCAUAAGCGCACAGCUUCGCAUGAAGCAGUGUGAAAAACUCCGGUGGUACAAGAUGGACCCGCGUCUGAUUAGCUGGUUGGUGAGGUAACGGCCCACCAAGUCAACGAUCAGUAGCCGGACUGAGAGGUUGAACGGCCACAUUGGGACUGAGAUACGGCCCAGACUCC